CAACCCUCAAGCUCAGCUUGGUAUUGGGUGUUACCUUGCCUGGUACGCCUUAAAAUCAGUGGCAGUGCCAUUCAGCUUCGAGCAUAGUAAUACUUCUUGCUUUGGAGGUUGGGUGUUUGCUUGCCAGCAGCCUCUAAUUAUCAAA
rnacentral:misc_RNA from 1 species